UGUGACAGAUAAGAUGUAAUGGAUUUAAACCCCAUGAAUAAAGGAUUUCCUUUCCUUAGAA
rnacentral:tRNA from 1 species